UACAGAGGUCUCAAGCGUUGUUCGGAUUCAUUGGGCGUAAAGGGUGUGUAGGUGGCGCCGUAAGUCGGGUGUGAAAUUUCGGAGCUUAACUCCGAAACUGCAUUCGAUACUGCGGUGCUUGAGGACUGGAGAGGAGACUGGAAUUUACGGUGUAGCAGUGAAAUGCGUAGAUAUCGUAAGGAAGACCAGUGGCGAAGGCGGGUCUCUGGACAGUUCCUGGCACUGAGACACGAAGGCCAGGGGAGCAAACGGG
rnacentral:rRNA from 1 species